UCCAGCGUGGCGGCGGCUUUUCCCGGCAGGGUGUGCGGGGGCAUUUUCCUCGGGGGCGUCCGGAGAGACCCAGCCCUGGGCGGGGGCGGGGACCCCAAGACCUGGGGACCCCCAGGCUACAGAGAAAGGGCAUAAGAAGAAAAUGCAUGAGGCCUCUACAGUGCAAUGAGGAACCUUAUGGAGAAGGCACGGGAUGCUGGCGCAGAGGAGGAGAAAAGGUGGAUGGAUUGCAUUUUGGAGGACAUUUAGGAACCGUUGGAGUGAAGUUGAGACACUGAGCAGGAAAUCCUCCUGGCCCCGGUGACGAAUGUUUCCUUCGAUCCUGGGCAGAGGCGUUGCGACACUUCCUGAAGCUCAUCCGUGAGGAUUCGGGUUCUGAGAAAUUCAGCACCCCCUCGGCUUCUGCAAAACAGCGACAGUUCGUCCGUCCAGUAAGUUAAACCGAGCCAAACAGGGCACGACAACAAAAGGAAAAGAUCCGACUGAACAGUGUGAAGCUAUCCGCUCCGCCUGUGGUCUUGUCUCUUGGAAGAAAGCACAAACUCCCCAGUGUGAGUGCCUUUGUGGGCGCGCAGGUUCAAGCGCGGCAAGAGAAGCAAGUUUUGUCUUACGUGAAAGCAGUUUGAGAGCAGCGGGCCCCCUCCAUUUGUACUAGAAUGAAUCUCAGUUCACUGGUUUUGGAAAAAAAAAAUUUAAUGUAUGUUUUAUUUUGGUGUAAUUUUAGAUUUACAGAGGAGUUACCCAGGCAGGACAGAGGAUUCCCUUAUAAAUCCCCACCCAUUUCCGGUUCCCCUCAUGGUAUCCACUGACAUUAUCAAUGGGACAUUUCCCCAAACUAAGAAACCAACACGGACACAUUACGACGACUAACCAAUUCUAGACGUUAUUGGGAUUUCACCAGUUUCCCCCUGAAUGUCUGUGGUCUGUUCCAGGAUCCUGCCUUGGUUUUGCUCCUGAGGGUACCUGUGCUGUUGCAAAAUGGUUUUUGACCCACUUCAGUAAAUAAUAUUUAUUUGAAGAGCUGAAUUUACUCAAGUGGAACCUUCCCGGGCACGUACAUACUCUGAAGCGUUGACUCCAAAAUAACAACUGGAUUCUUUCCCCAUUGCUUUCAUUUUUAUUAUUAUUAUAUU